rnacentral:rRNA from 1 species
GACGAACGCUGGCGGCGUGCUUAACACAUGCAAGUCGAACGGAAAGGCCCCUUUGGGGGUACUCGAGUGGCGAACGGGUGAGUAACACGUGAGUAACCUGCCCUUGACUUCGGGAUAACUUCAGGAAACUGGGGCUAAUACCGGAUAGGAAUCCUUGCUGCAUGGUGGGGGUUGGAAAGCUUCGGCGGUUUUGGAUGGACUCGCGGCUUAUCAGCUUGUUGGUGGGGUAGUGGCUUACCAAGGCUUUGACGGGUAGCCGGCCUGAGAGGGCGACCGGCCACAUUGGGACUGAGAUACGGCCCAGACUCCUACGGGAGGCAGCAGGGGGGAAUAUUGCACAAGGGGCGGAAGCCUGAUGCAGCAACGCCGCGUGCGGGAUGACGGCCUUCGGGUUGGAAACCGCUUUCAGCAGGGGCGAAGCUUGUGGUGACGGUACCUGCAGAAGAAGCACCGGCUAACUACGUG